GACCUGUCUAGCGUUGAUUCAGCUAACGAGCGAGAUUAUCGCCAAUUAUAUACUGCGCCUGGGUUUCCAGGUAGCUAAAAUGCAGUUCUAAUUGGGACUCCCUGCGAUUUUAGCAGGCGGAAGAGGGUAGCAAUAACAGGUCCGUGAUGUCCU
rnacentral:rRNA from 1 species